CCCGGGUCUUGUACACACCGCCCGUCACACCAUGGGAGCGGGAUGUACCAGAAGUAGGUAGGCUAACCGCAAGGGGGCCGCUUACCACGGUGCGUUUCGCGACUGGGGUG
rnacentral:rRNA from 1 species